rnacentral:lncRNA from 1 species
CCUGUUCCCGCUUUUUUUAUUUUUAAAAUCCCUUAUUUAUAGUUUAUCAAUUUAUAACAGUCAUUUAUAAAGCUUGUUAAUUGUAAUUAAAGUAUGUAAUGGAUAUUUUUUCUUUUCAUAGAACUGCUUUUAUAUACUGUUAUUUUGCAGUUCCUAAACCAACAUCAAUUUCAUUUCAACAUCAUAUUUAUCAUGCCUUAGAUUCAAACCUCGUUUUUACAAACUAAUUAAAUGAUCACGAUGACUGUUCGAUCAGAUUAAGUCCUUACUCAGAAAAGGUUGGCCUAUUUAUUUGUAAUCCCAUUUUUUACAACACAAAAUCUUAAGAGUUACCAAAUAUUACUUUCAAACUUUAUAUAACAUAAUAGAUAC